ensembl:lincRNA
GCGAAGCCAGGCUGGAAACCCCCUGAACGAGGCAGUUCCUCUUCUGCUCCACAGGUUAAAUGACCAAAAUGUUUUUGCAGGAAAUCUCUAGGAAUUGAUAUCUUUUUAACAUAUAACUUUUAUGUCGCAUGUAAGAUACCGACAUUCUGAGUAACAUGCUAAUUAGACUGUAAAACAUCCUAGCUGUUUUCAGACUCCAUAUGACUGUCAUGACAGAAAACCUUAGCCAGUUUUCAAGGUAUUUGAGUUGGGAAAAAUGAAGUGUAAUGGAAAAUGAUUUCCUUGUUUUGAAGAUUUCUGUGAGGUAUCCCCCGUGCUGCUGUACUCACUGUCCGUUUGAGCUCUUGGCAACACCCUGGCAGGUUCCAGUCAGCCUCCAGCAGCACGGAGAACCACAACCUGCAGGUGUGUUGUCCCUUUACACGGGACAAGUGCGUGGUGUGCGGUCAGGAGCCCAUCUACAAUGGUGGAGGGACAUCCAACCUGCUGCCUGAGUCUUUCCUAGAUCCCGAAUAUAUUCACCAAUACGAAAAUCUGAAUGAAGUACCACGCACAGUAGCAAAGACUGAAGAACGUCCCAAAGCACAUAUGGAGCAGGUUCCGGCAUGUUUUCUGGGUGAAGAAAGCAAAGUCCAGAGAAUAUCUACAGUAUGCUUUAUUCAUGGAACAAAAAUGAUAAAUAAGACAGAUGUAUAUCUGUUCAUUUGGGCAAAAAUAAAGAUAAAUAAACAAGGAACUAUUGAAGUACAGCACCCAUAGGGGGUAGCUGGGAACAGAAGUAAUAGAAGUAAUAUUUCUCAGAUCAUGUCUUUUUCUACAGUUUGGACAUUUGGGCCUAGGUUAAUGUUCCCCUAUGUAAAACAGAAUAUUAAAAGGGUGAGUUCAAAACUACCAUGGGAUAUGAUGAAAAGCAAAUUAAUCUGGGUGUAUUCCAAUGAAUAAUAUAAGCAACUGCAGAGGGGAGGACACUUGACCUAAGUAGCUUUUAAGUAAUCACAAUCAUGUGAUUUCUUCUACUUUCAGGCUAUAAACAAAAUCAAACCUCAAAAACCAGGAGGUUUGAUUUCUAUCAUGGUAUGGAGCUAGCAAUUCUAAAACUUCUUCUCUGUAUUGCAGGACUGAGCCAAAGAAUAAAUAGAUUGUGGCACUAGGCAUCUCACUGUUGGAGAAGGGAGUUACAAAUAUGGAAAGAGAGAAGAAUAGAAUGAAAUCUAUGGUAAAGGACUGAACUGGAAAAACUGGCAUAAAUUGAUGACAUAUAGAAAGAAACGGAUGUAAAGAGACAAACAAAUGUGCACACAUACUUUGUUUUGUGUACUGAGAGCGCAAAAAAGCAAUGGUAUUCCAAUAGCAACGAGCCUUGGAGCAUCCAGGUCUUGGUUCUAAGUAUUGGUUUCUACCAAGAAGAACCAGUCUUCCUUGGAAAAAUGGCAAAUGUCAUUGCUGGGUCUUAGAAAGUACAGGGUGACUCAGGGUAUCUUGUUUUUCCACAAAGUAAAGAAAUGUUCAAAAAUGCUAAGGAGAAAUCAAAAUGACACUCAAACUACUCUGAGGGCUUCCACUGGGCCAAGUAAAGAACAACUUGUGCAAUGAAAUAAAUAAUGACAGUACAAUUGCAACACAUUGAAUAAACAAAAUUCAAGUUGAUAUAGACUCUGAGUACAUGAUAAAACCAUCAAUGAAGGAAAACCAGGGGAGAAGAGAAAGCUUUUAUUCACAAUUUAUUUACAAUAGAAGGCCAGUUUGUGAAUAUAGAAGUCAUGACCGAAUUAGAAAGAAUACCAUUUGGCAAUCACUACAGUCAUAAUUGUCUGAGAUAAGAACUAUUAAUGUAUGCUAAUAUUAGAGAGUGAAGCAUAAGGAAAAGAUGAGGCUAUUUACAUAAUUUUGCAGGCUAUCCCCACAAAAUCCUUAUUAAUUAAAGGGAAGAAGAGUAACUUUAUACUCGACAAAGCUGGCAGACACCAGCUUCAUUCCAUGCUCAAAGUUACCACCGCUUUAGUUAAGUAAUCAAAGUUACCACUGCAAGUCAUAGGGCCACUAGGUAACACAGGCCCCCGAUAAGGACAUAACGUCCCUUCUUUGGUAUUCCCGCCGAACAUGUAUGGCCUGAACCUGUUGCGAAGAAAUGACAGACAGACCCAAAUGAAGGGAAGUAGCAGCUGGCCUCCAGGGUGGUCCCAACCGUUCCCCUCCUCCUCGCACUCCCCUCACUCACAGUGCCCUUCCUUAGUGAAAAGGGUUGAUCAGUACUAUAACCGACAAUCAUCUGGCAUAACGUAAUGUGACCUUUGCAAAUCCAUCAUGGAAUACAUUCCAGCUUAUGCCUUUCAUGAUCUGGGAGAAGCCAGUGCCUGAGGACACUCAGCACUUGUGCAGCCCAACAGUGAGGUCCACAUGGUGAAGAAACCGGGAGCUACGCAGGAGGCACACGACCCCCUGCGGCUGCUGCAGCCCUAGGCAGCCCUCUCCCGGCUGCUGCUCACUGAGGUCGCAAUCUGCCAGGACCCCAGGCCUUGCUGAGCCGCUCUCAAG